UACGGGGGGAGCAAGCGUUGUUCGGAUUUACUGGGCGUAAAGCGCACGUAGGCGGACUCUUAAGUCGGUGGUGAAAUCCUGGAGCUCAACUCCAGAACUGCCUUCGAUACUGAGAGUCUCGAGUCCGGGAGAGGUGAGUGGAACUGCGAGUGUAGAGGUGAAAUUCGUAGAUAUUCGCAAGAACACCAGUGGCGAAGGCGGCUCACUGGCCCGGUACUGACGCUGAGGUGCGAAAGCGUGGGGAGCAAACAGG
rnacentral:rRNA from 1 species